rnacentral:piRNA from 1 species
UUGGAAAGAUGGGCUACUUUGUGUCAUU